ACCAGUUCUGAGGGAUAUCAAAGC
rnacentral:sRNA from 1 species